rfam:Ictidomys tridecemlineatus contig099147, whole genome shotgun sequence.
UGGGGUGUAGCUCAGGACUAAAGUGCAUGUCUAGCAUGUGUGAGGCCCUGGGUUCAAUCCCCAGCACCACAA